AAGGCUAACCACAAAGUGGCGAACCACCGGUUUUUAACCUUUUUAUAAAACCGCGGAAAAAAAAACACACCCGG
rnacentral:rRNA from 1 species